CCCUUAGAUGUUCUGGGCCGCACGCGCGCUACACUGAUGAAUUCAACGAGCACUAACCUGUGCCGAAAGGUUCGGGUAAUCUUGUGAAAUUUCAUCGUGAUGGGGAUUGAUUAUUGCAAUUUUUAAUCAUAAACGAGGAAUGCCUAGUAAGCGUGAGUCAUCAGCUCACGUUGAUUACGUCCCUGUCCUUUGUACACACCGCCCGUCGCUCCUACCGAUUGAAUGUGCCAGUGAAAAGUUCGGAUUGGAGAUAGGAGACGGCAACGUAUCCUAUUUCCGAGAAAAUCUUUAAACUUUCCCAUUUAGAGGAAGGAGAAGUCGUAACA
rnacentral:rRNA from 1 species